rnacentral:rRNA from 1 species
CAAUAGCGUAUAUUUAAGUUGCUGCAGUUAAAAAGCUCGUAGUUGGAUUUCGGGUGGGAAUGGCCGGUCCGCCGUUUCGGUGUGCACUUGCUACGCCCACCUUGCUGCCGGGGACGUGCUCUUGAGUUCACGCUCGGGACACGGAGUCGGCGCGGUUACUUUGAGUAAAUUAGAGUGUUCAAAGCAGGCCUACGCUCUGAAUACAUUAGCAUGGAAUAACACGAUAGGACUCUGGCCUAUCUUGUUGGUCUGUAGGACCGGAGUAAUGAUUAAGAGGGACAGUCGGGGGCAUUCGUAUUUCAUUGUCAGAGGUGAAAUUCUUGGAUUUAUGAAAGACGAACUACUGCGAAAGCAUUUGCCAAGGAUGUUUUCAUUAA